UAAUAGCAAUUUGACUCGAAAUAUCUACAAAACAAAGACAAUGUAACAUUAAUCUAACAGAAAUUUAACAUUUGGAAGCAUACAUUACGAGUAAUACUAACAAUUUUUUUUUUCUGAUGCACCACUUGGUUUUAGAAGUUCCACUUGCCGAACACAUCCUUGCAUUUUGUUAAUGGUGGCGUUAAUAACUCGCAUUCGCUUCAUUAAAGAUCUUUUUCGGCCGAAUAAGAGUGAUAAAUGAAGGAAGUGUGGUCUUGUAUCCAUUCUCCACUCGGGGACCAGAAUUGGUCCCUUGAUUAAUAUAUACCUACCAUUGGAUCUUAGGAGAUAUCAAGAUAGACUUGACAUAAGUGUACAUCUUCUUCAUCUGAAUAUGAAGAAGAUCGUGGAGCAGAACUUAUUUUUGAGGGGAGUUUAUUGAGAAGGGUAGAUGAUAUUAACU
rnacentral:lncRNA from 1 species